rnacentral:sRNA from 1 species
AUUCAUGCUGUUUGUAGCGUGCAGGUCGGUGGUGUUACACACAUUCAUGCUGUUGUAGGCGUGCAGGUCGGGGUGUUACACCAUUCAUGCUGUUGCAGGCGUGCAGGUCGGUGGUGGUACACACAUUCAUGGCUGUUGUAGGCGUGCAGGUCGGUGGUGUUACACACAUUCAUGCUGUUGUAGCGUGCAGGUCGGUGGUGUUACAACAUUCAUGCUGUUGCAGGCGUGCAGGUCGGUGGUGUUCACACAUUCAUGCUGUUGUAGGCGUGCAGGUCAGUGGUGUUACACACAUUCAUGCUGUUGCAGGCGUGCAGGUCGGUGGUGGUACACACAUUCAUGCUGUUGUAGGGUGCAGGUCGGUGGUGGUACUUCAUGCUGUUGCAGGCGUGCAGGUCGGUGGUGUUACACACAUUCAUGCUGUUGUGCAGCCAUCACCUCCACCGGUGGACACCAGGGCUGUGCUGUUUUGGUUGCUGUAAGCGUGGGUGCACACUCCUGCCUGAGGCUCUGACUUGUUGUGAGUGCGGGUGCACACACCUGCCUGAGGCUGUGUUUUGGGUGUUGUGAGCGCGGGUACACACACCUGCCUGAGGCUCUGUUUUGACUGUUGUGAGCGCAGGUGCACACACCUGCCAGAGGCUCUGUUUUGACUGUUGUGAGCGCGGGUGCACACACCUGCCUGAGGCUGUGGUGCGAUCUCAGCUGACUGCAACCUCCACCUCCCGGGUUCAAGCGGUUCUCCUGCCUCAGCCUCCCGAGUAGCUGGGACUAUACCCACCACCACACCCGGCUAUUUUUUUGUAUUUUUAGUAGAGAUGGGAUUUCGCCAUCUUGGCCAGGAUGGUCUGGAACUGACCUCAGGUGAUCCACCCAUUGGCCUCCCAAAGUGCUGGGAUUACAGAUGUGAGCCACUGUGCCCGGCCUCUUUUUACUUUGUUAAUGGUGUAUUUUGAUAGAGAACAGAUUGUCAUUUUCAUGAAGCACAGCUGGUCGGUUUAUUGUUGCUCAUGUAUUUGGCCUCACGUUCGAGUCCCUGUUCUUAAUCAUGAGCUGGACACAUCCCUCUUUAGAGCAACUGUGACCACUUGUGGUGAGAAGUGCAGCCCACACCAUCCACGUGAGGCUCCCAUGCAGAUGUUUAGAAGGCGUUUCCACUGCAGCUCAGAAAAUGGCCCCAGGCGCCCAUGGGCACCCCCAUGUCACUAGGGCCUCUGGUUGCUGCAGGUACACAGGGAUAAGCAGCCUGGCCUCGAAGGCGCUUGGCAUGGGUUUGGGUGUCUGCAUUGGGUAGAGACCCGGAGCACCCUUGCUGGGCGUGCCCUAACAUCCCAGUACCCUGUGCCCCUCUGUGGGCCAGGAUGCCUGGUGCUGCCAGCUGGGCGUGAGCCCUGAGGAGCUGAGGGUGGCUGUGACUUGGAGGAUGAGUGGGAGCUUACCAGGAGGGCGUGGAGCCGGGGCGUUUAAUAUCAUCAGGAGCAACACUGGGCUCAGAAGGCAGGCACACUUGCCGUCCCUCCAGAGCCAUGGCUGACGGCCAGGCCUGGCGGGCUCUCGUGAGGACAGUGCCUGUGGUUGUCAGAUGCUGUCCCUUCGGGUAAGGGAUGAGAGCCAUCCUGAAGACAGGUCAGCUCUGUGGUGGCCACCCGUCGGGAUCAGUGACAUUCAGGUGUGUUGCACUGGUGGCUGUGUGGCUGUGUGGUGUGUGGCUGUGUGGUGUGUGGUGUGGCCACCAGGAGCCAUGUGGCCGAGGACAGCUGUGGGCUGGGCACAGAGCUGUCUCUGCUGGGAGUCAGUCGGUGCUGGGGUGAGGGGAGGCAGAGCUCACAGAGCCCCUCUACAGCUUACCCUGCAGCUCUGCCCCAGGCAGUAAACCCACCAUCCCCCUUUCUGCCGCAGGAGGCCGUGGAGAAGGUGACGCAGCACAUACAUGGCCUGUCUGGGAAGAAGGAUGGGCUGGUGCCCAUGUUCAUCAAUACCCACAGCGGCCUCUUCACCCACCUGGGCGUGUUCACACUGGGCGCCAGGGCCGACAGCUACUAUGAGUACCUGCUGAAGCAGUGGAUCCAGGGCGGGAAGCAGGAGACACAGCUGCUGGAAGACUACCUGGAAGCCAUCGAGGGUGUCAAAACGCACCUGCUGCGGCACUCCGAGCCCAGUAAGCUCACCUUCGUGGGGGAGCUUGCCCACGGCCGCUUCAGUGCCAAGAUGGGACGCUGGCUCUGGGCGUCUACCACGGCCUGCCCGCCAGCCACAUGGAGCUGGCCCAGGAGCUCAUGGAGACUUGUUACCAGAUGAACCGGCAGAUGGAGACGGGGCUGAGUCCCGAGAUCGUGCACUUCAACCUUUACCCCCAGCCGGGCCGUCGGGACGUGGAGGUCAAGCCGGCAGACAGGCACAACCUGCUGCGGCCAGAGACCGUGGAGAGCCUGUUCUACCUGUACCGUGUCACAGGGGACCGCAAGUACCAGGACUGGGGCUGGGAGAUUCUGCAGAGCUUCAGCCGGUUCACGCGGGUCCCCUCGGGUGGCUAUUCUUCCAUCAACAAUGUCCAGGAUCCUCAGAAGCCCGAGCCCAGGGACAAGAUGGAGAGCUUCUUCCUGGGGGAGACGCUCAAGUAUCUGUUCUUGCUCUUCUCUGACGACCGUAACCUACUCAGCCUGGACGCCUACGUGUUCAACACUGAAGCCCACCCUCUGCCUAUCUGGACCCCUGCCUAGGGGGGACGGCUGCUGCUGUGGGGACUUCGGGUGGGCAGAGGCGCCUGGCUGGGUCUGUGGCAUUUUCCAAGGGCCCACGUAGCGCCGGCAACCGCCGAGUGGCCCGGGCUCUGAACUGGCUCUGGGCUCCUCCUUGUCUCUGCUUUAAUCAGGACACCGUGAGGCCAAGUGAGGCCGUCAGUCUGUGUGUGAUGCGGUGUGGGCUGGGCCACUGGAGCCUCCGCCUGCUUCCUCCAGAAAACACGAAUCAUGACUCACGAUCGCUGAAGCCUGAGCAGGUCUCUGUGGGCCGACCGGAGGGGCUUCGAGUGGCCCCUGGCACUGUGGUGACCGAGUGGACAGCCCAGGGUGCAGCUCUGCCCAGGCUCGUGAAGCCUCAGAUGUCCCCAAUCCAAGGGUCUGGAGGGGCUGCCGUGACUCCACAGGCCCGAGGCUCCAGGGCUGGCUCUGGUGUUUACUAGCUGGACUCAGGGAUCCUCCUGGCCACCCCGCAGGGGGCUUGGAGGGCUGGACGGCAAGUCUGUCUGGCUCACGGGCCCCUCCAGUGGAAUGGGUCCUUUCGGUGGAGAUAAAAGUUGAUUUGCUCU